UGUCUUGUCUUUGAGAGUUGCCAAGAGCCCUGAGUGUGCUUUAUGUGAUUUGUUCAGAAUCACACAGUGCCCUCGAGAGAUGUCUUCAAGCAAAGGAUGGGAAUGACUUCUUGAGUGUGUUUAUCAGGGGCCGCACAUGCCAGAGACAGAACGCCAUCCGGGCCCUGCUGCCUCUUUAAGGCACAAAACUGCCAGUUACGUCCUUGUCUGGGAGUACAGAAAGAAACAGCACGAGAUCGGGGGAGAUUAUCAGGAACACAAAAACAUUUCACAAAACCACAGAAUCAAAGACUGCAUGAGACCUCACCAGCCAUCAAAUUCAGCUUCUGCCUGACCAAGAAUCCCUGCUGCAACGUACCAGUAUGGAAUCUGCCAGGCUUUUCUGGAGGACAGCUAUCGAGGGCAAUCUCACCAGCAGCCUGAGAUAGCCAGUUCCCCCUCUGGGCAGCUUUAGCUGCUGGAAAGGUUUUUCUGGAAUCAGAACUGAAAUUUGCCUCAUUGCCAGUCUAACCGCUAUUCCCAGUUUUGCCUUCUUGUACUCAGCAGAGGAAGACUCAUUUCUCUUCCGCAUGACGGUCCUUCAGCUAUACACAUACCUCCCUCAUACGGCUUGUUCUCAAUAGCCUUCACCAUCUUGGUUCUCCUCCUCUGGGCACCCUCCUAGCUUAUCAAUGUGUUCUAUGCAGCCAAACAGAAAAUUUGUACAGGUUUGGGUUCUGGUGCUUCCAUUGACUCUCUGUAUGACCUAGGGCGAGGCGCUUAAACCCUUUGGGCCUCAGUUUCCUCAUUUAUCAAAUGAGGGGGCUGGACUAAAUGCCUUCCAGCUCCAGAUCUAAGAUCUGAUGAUUUUAUGGCUGUCCUUGUUGAAUUUCCCAUAAUUCAAUGCAGCCAACGUUAAAUCCAGUUGAGAUUUCUUUUAUAUCUUGAAUCUGUCAUCUGGUAUAUAAGUUAUCCUUCGUGGCUUUGUGCCAUCGGCAAAUUGGGGUCUGGGGGAUUGUUUGUUUUUCAUUUGUUUUGUUGAUGAC
rnacentral:lncRNA from 1 species